GGAAGGGUGCGAGAGUGGCUUAUCCGGCACGCCUGGAGAGCGUGUGUACCAGCAAUGGUACCGUGGGUUCAAAUCCCACCCCUUCCG
rnacentral:tRNA from 1 species